CAGCCGCCGCGGUAAUACGAAGGGGGCUAGCGUUGCUCGGAAUGACUGGGCGUAAAGGGCGCGUAGGCGGCGGCCAAAGUCAGGCGUGAAAUUCCCGGGCUCAACCUGGGGGCUGCGUUUGAUACUUGGUUGCUUGAGUGGGGAAGAGGGUCGUGGAAUUCCCAGUGUAGAGGUGAAAUUCGUAGAUAUUGGGAAGAACACCGGUGGCGAAGGCGGCGACCUGGUCCUUUACUGACGCUGAGGAGCGAAAGCGUGGGGAGCAAACAGGAUUAGAUACCCGUGUAGUCCCUGUCUCUUAUAC
rnacentral:rRNA from 1 species